rnacentral:ncRNA from 2 species
CGCUCAUCACGAGGGACUGAGGGAACGGCCCGACGAAGUCCCGGCAACCACCCAUGAGCCUCCUGCCCUCCGCGGCAGUCAUGGGAGCAGGUGCCAAAUCCGGCCCACGCGAGAGCCGCGCGGGACAGAUGAGAA